CUGCCUCCUUGGGACCAUUGGGAGUGAGUUCUGCCCUUUGGAAUGGGGUCUGUCAGCAGAAGGAGCAGCAACUGCACCUGGAGAUUGCUUCCUUUAGAGCGUGGGGUGAACCCUUGAAACUGGGACUGUGACCUUUCCUGUUUUUGGGGCAUCCUGACCACAUUGAAGUGUUGGCAGAUGUAAGGGCAGCAUUGAUCUCUGGAGACUGUCUCCUGUGGAGCAGGGGGCUGUUAUGCACUGCUUCCAACCAUGCAGAGUUGUUUAAGGGCGUUCUGUGCACCCUUAGGUGUAAUAAAUCUUCAUCUUUAUAGAAAGCCAAGGAUUGUCCUCUUCUGGACUGCUGUACUCAGUAUCACCCCAGUGUGAUGAAGUGAAGCCCCUGCUCUGCUGAAUACUGGGACUGGCCCAGAGAGGCUCUGAUGGAUGUGGAUUAUCCUAGCCAGAGUACUUGGUACCAUUGGUGGUGAUCUCGUCCAACUGCCACACAAUGAACAGGAACAUCCACAGCCAGAUCUGGCUGCCCAGAGGCUGACCCAGCCUCACCUUGGAAGGGAUGGGGCAUCCAUCACAUGUCUGGGGACUUCACCUGACUGCCUCGACUUCUCAAAUACCACUGAGAGUGGCUCGGUGACUGCAGCGGUGAAUUCCCUCAGGGCUCUGGGACUCGUCUCAUCAGGACCCAAAGACUCCUGGAUGUCAGGUUCUCAGGUGGCUGCGGAGUUGCAGCGCUCCCAAGUGCCGUAACGACUGCAUGGAGAUGCGUGGCUCUUCAUGGGAACAGCAAGGAACCGGAAUCUGCAUUUCCUGGAAUGCCCCAGAGCCUCGCUUUGCUGGCUGGUAAUUGUCUGCCCAGCAGGUGGCAGCAGAGCUGCGUUGCUCCUGAGCACUUUAAGGACAGCACAGAGAUGCGCGGCUCUUCACGGCAGCAGCAGAAACUGAAAUCUGCAUUUCCUGGAACGCCCCGGAACCUUGCUUUGCUGGCCGGUAAUUGUCUGCCCAGCAGGUGAAGAUGCCUUUGAUGCUUCCAGUUGAUGGCUUCCCCCCUGCAAUGCCAUCAUCUUUCCAGUCCUCCCACACUCACCGCCAGCUCGGUUCAGUCCAGCUUUUACCUGAAUCCCUGCUCUGUUCCCUUUCCUGAGCGCUGUAAGGACAGCAUGGAGAUGCGCGGCUCUUCAUGGCAGCAGCAGGAACCGGAAUCUGCAUUUCCUGGAACGCCCCGGAACCCCACUUUGCUGCCUGGUAAUUCUCUGCCCAGCAGGUGAAGAUGCCUUCGAUGCUUCCAGUCGAUGACUUCCCCCCGCGAUGCCAUUGGCUUUCCUGGCCUCCCACAGUCACCGCCAGCUCAGUUCAGUUGAGCCGUUACCCGAAUCCCCACUCCGUUCCCUUUCCAUGAUCUUCCUGUCACUCUGCCACAAGUCCCCACCAAGGUCAUCGCAGGCAACGUGUGGGAUGCAGCACUCGGUCUCAUUACAGUUCAUCCCAUCAGCUUCAGCCCAGCGAUCCAACCCACCCGCACCCUUCCUGAGGGCCCUUCUGCUCCCAGGCCAAUCAACGCUUCCUUCUGAUGCCAUCUGCGUUCCUUCCUGCCCACUAUCAGACUCGUGCCCCUUUGUGGCCAUUUUGAGAGUUGCGCUGAUUUCAGCGUCUGCAUUCAAUUGACUUCAACCAAAUUGGCUUUAGUUUUACAUUCACUUAAUGUAAACCAAAUUGGCUUUAGUUUUACAUUCGAUUAAUGUAAACCAAAUUGGCUUUAAGUUGGCCUUGCUUACGGGGUUGGGUUAGCUUUGCUUUGUUUGUUCUAGCGCAGGGCUAACCCAACCCCGUAACCAAGGGCCGGUGGAGGCGAUUUUGUUCCUUCCCGGCCAGUCUGAGACUCGUGCCCCCUUGUGGCCAUUUGAAGAAUUGCGCUAAUUUCAGCGUCUGCAUUCAAUUGAUCUCAACCAAAUUGGCUUUGGCUUUGCAUUCAACUUACUUCAACCAAAUUGGCUUUAGUUUUACAUCCAAUUAAAUGUAAACCAAAUUGGCUUUAGUUUUACAUCCAAUUAAAUGUAAACCAAAUUGGCUUUAGUUUUACAUCCAAUUAAAUGUAAACCAAAUUGGCUUUAAGUUUGCCUUGCUUACGGGGUUGGGUUAGCUUUGCUUUGUUUGUUCCUAGGCAGGGCUAACCCAACCCCGUAACCAAGGGCCGACGGAGGCGAUUUUGUUCCUUCCUGGCCAGUCUGAGACUCGUGCCCCCUUGUGGCCGUUUGAUGAUCUGUGCUGAUUUCAGCGUCUGCAUUCAAUUGAUCUCAACCAAAUUGGCUUUAGCCUUGCAGUCAUUUUGCAUCAACCAAAUUGGCUUUGGCUUUGCAUUCAACUUAUUUCAACCAAAUUGGCUUUAGUUUUACAUUCAGUUGACUUCAAUCAAAUUGGCUUUAGUUUUACACUCAAUUACUGUAAGCCAAGUUGGCUUUAGUUUUACAUCCAAUUAAUGUAAACCAAAUUGGCUUUAGCAUUGCCUUGCUUACGGGGUUGGGUUAGCUUUGCUUUGUUUGUUCUAGCGCAGGGCUAACCCAACCCCGUAACCAAGGGCCGGCGGAGGCGAUUUUGUUCCUCCCGGCCAGUCUGAGACUCGCGCCCUCUUGUGGCCAUUUGAAGAGUUGCGCUGAUUUCAGCGUCUGCAUUCAAUUGAUCUCAACCAAAUUGGCUUUAGCCUUGCAGUCAUUUUGCAUCAACCAAAUUGGCUUUAGCUUUACAUUCAAUUAUUGUAAACCAAAUUGGCUUUAGUUUUACAUUCGAUUAAUGUAAACCAAAUUGGCUUUAGUUUUUACAUUCGAUUAAUGUAAACCAAAUUGGCUUUAAGUUGGCCUUGCUUACGGGGUUGGGUUAGCUUUGCUUUGUUUGUUCUAGCGCAGGGCUAACCCAACCCCGUAACCAAGGGCCGGUGGAGGCGAUUUUGUUCCUUCCCGGCCAGUCUGAGACUCGUGCCCCCUUGUGGCCAUUUGAAGAGUUGCGCUGAUUUCAGCGUCUGCAUUCAAUUAAUCUCAGCCAAAUUGG